CACAUCGCAAGUCGAACGAGACCUUCGGGUCUAGUGGCUGCACGGGUGCAGUAACGCGUGGGAAUCUGCCCUUGGGUUCGGGAUAACAGUUGGAAACGACUGCUAAUACCGGAUGAUCGGCUUCGGACCAAAGAUUUAUCGCCCCAGGGCAUUGGAGCCCGCCGUCGGAUAUAGUCAUAGUAUCGGUAGAGGUAAAGGCUCACCAAGGCGACGAUCCGUAGCUUGGUCUGAGAGGAUGAUCAGCCACACUGGGACUGAGACACGGCCCAGACUCCUACGGGUAGGCAGCAGGUGGGGAAUAUUGGACAAUGGGCGAAAGCCUGAUCCAGCAAUGCCGCGUGAGUGAUGAAGGCCUUAGGGUCUGUAAAGCUCUUUUACCCCGGCAUGAUAAUGACAGUACCGGGAGAAUAAGCCCCGGCUAACUCCGUCGCCAGCAGCCCGCGGUCAAUACGGAGGGGGCUAGCGAUGUUUNGAANUNCCNGGGCCUAAAGCGCACGUAGGCCGGGGAGAAUAAGCCCCGGCUAACUCCGUGCCAGCAGCCGCGGUAAUACGGAGGGGGCUAGCGUUGNNUCGGAAUUACUGGGCGUAAAGCGCACGUAGGCGGCUUUGUAAGUUAGAGUCGAAAGCCCG
rnacentral:rRNA from 1 species